ensembl:snoRNA
AUAAGUGAUGACUUUAAAUUCUUCACUUUGACCUGACUGUCUAGUGAUGAAAAACUAUGGUCUGAUU